rnacentral:rRNA from 1 species
AGCGAACGCUGGCGGCAGGCCUAACACAUGCAAGUCGAACGAAGUCUUCGGACUUAGUGGCGGACGGGUGAGUAACACGUGGGAACGUACCUUUUGGUUCGGAACAACUCAGGGAAACUUGAGCUAAUACCGGAUGAGCCCUUAGGGGGAAAGAUUUAUCGCCGAAAGAGCGGCCCGCGUUAGAUUAGCUAGUUGGUGAGGUAAAGGCCCACCAAGGCUACGAUCUAUAGCUGGUCUGAGAGGAUGAUCAGCCACACUGGAACUGAGACACGGCCCAGACUCCUACGGGAGGCAGCAGUGGGGAAUCUUGCGCAAUGGGCGAAAGCCUGACGCAGCCAUGCCGCGUGAAUGAUGAAGGUCUUAGGAUUGUAAAAUUCUUUUACCAGGGACGAUAAUGACGGUACCUGGAGAAAAAGCCCCGGCUAACUUCGUGCCAGCCGCCGCCGUAAAAC